CGCCACACUUGAAGCUUCCUCCUUUGAUUCUCCACUCCAUGAACCAUUUUUAUGAAAAGGCACACAACUGAUAAAAAGGUUUGUGCAUCAAAACCCAAUAUCUGCUGUCCACUACUCUCAAAGAUUUCUGCAAUAUGCUACACUUCAAACUUCCUUAUCCAUAAUGAUUCUCCACUCCAUUAACUGUUUUUAUGAAGCAACACAAAACCAAUUAAAAAGGUUUGUGCAUCAAAACUCAAUAUCUACUGUCCACUACUCCCAAAAGAUUUCUGCAAUACGCUACACUUCAAACUUCCUUCUCCAUUAUAUGAUUCUCCGCUCCAUUAAUUGUUUUUAUGAAGCAGCACAAAACCAAUAAAAAAGGUAAAUUCCAUUGUAUA